rnacentral:rRNA from 1 species
GAUGAACGCUAGCGGCAGGCUUAAUACAUGCAAGUCGAGGGGCAGCGGGAGUAGCAAUACUUGCCGGCGACCGGCGCACGGGUGCGUAACACGUAUGUAAUCUGCCCAUCACAGGAGGAUAGCCCGGAGAAAUUCGGAUUAAUACUCCAUAAUAGAAGAUAAAGCAUUUUAUUUCUUGAAAGUUCCGACGGUGAUGGAUGAACAUGCGACUGAUUAGUUUGUUGGUGAGGUAACGGCUCACCAAGACUACGAUCAGUAGGGGUACUGAGAGGUUAAACCCCCACACUGGUACUGAGACACGGACCAGACUCCUACGGGAGGCAGCAGUGGGGAAUUUUGGACAAUGGGGGCAACCCUGAUCCAGCCAUUCCGCGUGAGUGAAGAAGGCCUGG